CCCUAUGGGGUGCAGCAGGCGCGAAACCUUUACAAUGCACGCAAGUGUGAUAAGGGAACUCUCAGUGCUUAUGCACUGCAUAGGCUUUUGCCAAAGGUAAACACUUUGGCGAAUAAGUGGUGGGAAAGACCGGUGCCAGCAGCCGCGGUAACCCCGGCGCCACAAGUGGCAACCGUGUUUAUUGGGCCUAAAGCGUCCGUAGCCGGUUUAGUAAAUCCUUUGUGAAAUUGUAGGACUUCAUCCUGCAGCGUGCAGGGGACACUACUAAACUAGGAACUGGGAGGAGUCAGAGGUAUUUCAGGGGGAGCGGUAAAAUGCUAUAAUCCCUGGAGGACCACCUGUGGCGAAGGCGUCUGACCAGAACAGAUUCGACGGUGAGGGACGAAAGCUAGGGGAGCGACUCGGAUUAGAUACCCGACUAGUCCUAGCUGUAAACGCUGCGAGCUAGGUGUUGCAUAUUCUCCGAGAAUAUGCAGUGUCGAAGCGAAGGCAUUAAGCUCGCCGCCUGGGAAGUAUAGCCGCAAGGCCGAAACUUAAGGGAAUUGGCGGGGGAGCACUACAAGGGGUGCGGCGUGCGGUUUAAUCUAACUCAACGCAGAGAACCUCACCAGGGUCGACGGCAGGAUGAAAGUCAGUCUGAAGGGCUUACUUGACGAGCCGAGAAGAGGUGCAUGGCC
rnacentral:rRNA from 1 species